GAGUUUGAUCCUGGCUCAGGACGAACGCUGGCGGUGCGCCUUAUGCAUGCAAGUUGAGCGAAGCUUUUUGGUAGUUUACUACUAGAAAUGACUGAGCGGCGAACGGGUGAGUAACGCGUGAGCAAUCUACCUUAGUUACUGGGAUAGCCCGAGGAAACUCGGAUUAAUACCAGAUAUUCUUAUUUUUUCACAUGAAGUUUUAAGGAAAGGUCAGCCGAACUAAGAUGAGCUCGCGUUCUAUCAGCUAGUUGGUGGGGUAAAAGCCUACCAAGGCAACGACGGAUAGCUGGUCUGAGAGGACGAUCAGCCACACUGGGACUGAGACACGGCCCAGACUCCUACGGGAGGCUGCAGCAGGGAAUAUUGUGCAAUGAGCGAAAGCUUGACACAGCGACACCGCGUGUGGGAUGACGGUUCUAGGAUUGUAAACCACUUUCAGGAGGGAAGAAAAUGACGGUACCUCCACAAGAAGACCCGGCCAACUAUGUGCCAGCAGCCGCGGUAAUACAUAGGGGUCAAGCGUUGUCCGGAUUUAUUGGGCGUAAAGAGCUCGUAGGCGGUUCAACAAGUCGGUCGUAAAAGUUUAGGGCUCAACCCUAAAAUGUCGAUCGAUACUGUUGUGGCUAGGAUACGGUAGAGGUGAAUGGAAUUCCGAGUGUAGCGGUGAAAUGCGUAGAUAUUCGGAGGAACACCAAUUGCGAAGGCAGUUCACUGGACCGUGAUCGACGCUGAGGAGCGAAAGCUAGGGGAGCAAACAGGAUUAGAUACCCUGGUAGUCCUAGCUGUAAACGAUGGAUACUAGAUGUAGGAACUGGAUUGACGGUUUCUGUAUCGUAGCUAACGCGUUAAGUAUCCCGCCUGGGGAGUACGGUCGCAAGACUAAAACUCAAAGGAAUUGACGGGACCCCGCACAAGCGGCGGAGCAUGCGGCUUAAUUCGAUGAUACCCGUAGAACCUUACCUGGACUUGACAUAUAGGGAAAAACUGGAGAAAUCCAGUGUGCGUAAGCGCCCUUUACAGGUGGUGCAUGGCUGUCGUCAGCUCGUGUCGUGAGAUGUUGGGUUAAGUCCCGCAACGAGCGCAACCCCUGUCCUAUGUUGCCAGCAAGUAAUGUUGGGGACUCAUAGGAGACUGCCGGUGAUAAACCGGAGGAAGGUGGGGAUGACGUCAAGUCAUCAUGCCCCUUAUGUCCAGGCUGCACGCAUGCUACAAUGGCAAGUACAACGAGUCGCAAUACCGCGAGGUGGAGCAAAUCUCUUAAAGCUUGUCUCAGUUCGGAUAGGAGUCUGCAACUCGACUCCUUGAAGUUGGAGUCGCUAGUAAUCGCAAAUCAGCAAAGUUGCGGUGAAUACGUUCUCGGGGUUUGUACUCACCGCCCGUC
rnacentral:rRNA from 1 species